GCAGGAGCGCUGUCAUCUGUGCGUGUGCCUUCAUCCCACAAUGGGCUGAUUUCCUGCAUUGCUGUCGGUGCUAUAGCCUGAGAUACUGCAGCUGGUUUUAAGGUCAUCAAGCAGGCAUCCUAGUGAAAUGCAGCAUGCUCUCAAUGCAUAGUACAUUGCCAAAUCUACUGAUGCUCUGGUGAAAAUGAGAGGAUACAUAUUAAUCAUCUUAAUAGGCCAAAUCCUACACUUCUUCCAGUCACUGGAACCUGUGCCAUUGUCCACAUUGAGAGACUAAAAAGAUUAUAAGACAAUCCCUUCUCCAUAAAUUCAAGCAUGGACUGCAGCCCACACUUUCCACUUUCUACAUGAAUGCCUAAUGCCUAGGUGAUGGGAUCUUCCAAGAUAGGUCUUCCAGUGAGAGCACUCCAUGAAGCUCAAGGGAAGAGAGAAAAUAAAUAGCAAAGUUUAAUUAA